UGAGCAGCCAGGGCCUGCACGGACUUCAAAACCCUUCUCCAGCUCAUCAUCCUCUUGUCCUACCCUUUCACUGCAGUAUAAUAAAGCCCUAUCUCGCUAGCAUAGCAGGAAGAUGAUGAAGCUCUCCGUGACUGAACAAAAAAUUUAAAAAUGAUGGGAAAUGAGGAGGUCAGGUCUCAUGUACAGUGGGCGCCAUUGGAGAAAAGAAAC
rnacentral:misc_RNA from 1 species